rnacentral:rRNA from 1 species
UUGGAGGGCAAGUCUGGUGCCAGCAGCCGCGGUAAUUCCAGCUCCAAUAGCGUAUAUUAAGGUUGUUGCAGUUAAAAAGCUCGUAGUUGAAUUUCGGGAUUUAUCCGUCGGUCGGGCUUUUGGGUCUGUACUGGCGUGAUGGAUUCCUACCUUCUGAAUAACCGGCAUGUCAUUAAUUUGGUGCGCUGGGGAAGCAGGACUGUUACCUUGAAAAAAUUAGAGUGCUUAAAGCAGGCUAUUGCCUGAAUACAUUAGCAUGGAAUAAUGAAACAGGACGGCAUGGUUCUAUUUUGUUGGUUUCUAGGAUCACCGUAAUGAUUAAUAGGGAUAGUUGGGGGCAUUAGUAUUCAAUUGUCAGAGGUGAAAUUCUUGGAUUUAUUGAAGACUAACUUCUGCGAAAGCAUUUGCCAAGGAUGUUUUCAUUAAUCAAGAACGAAAGUUAGGGGAUCGAAGACGAUCAGAUACCGUCGUAGUCUUAACCAUAAACUAUGCCGACUAGGGAUCGGAUGAUGUUAAUUUUUUAAUGACUCAUUCGGCGCCUUACGGGAAAC